GCUAAUACCGCAUAAUGCAGCGGCUCGACAUCGAGACAGUUGUUAAAGCGGGGGAUCGCAAGACCUCGCGCCUGAAGAGAAGCCUGCGGCAGAUUAGCUAGUUGGUAGGGUAAUGGCCUACCAAGGCAACGAUCUGUAACCGGCCUGAGAGGGCGGUCGGUCACACUGACACUGACAUACGGGUCAGACUCCUACGGGAGGCAGCAGUCGGGAAUUUUGGGCAAUGGGCGAAAGCCUGACCCAGCAACGCCGCGUGAAGGAUGAAAUCCUUCGGGAUGUAAACUUCGCAAGAAUGGGAAGAAUAAGUGGGGGACAAUACCCCCCAUGAUGACGGUACCAUUUGUAAGCUCAGGCUAACUCCGUGCCAGCAGC
rnacentral:rRNA from 1 species